rnacentral:lncRNA from 1 species
GAAAAAUUUUUUUGAAUGAGGUCAAAAGGGGAGGGGGAGAUGUGAAUGGCUGAAAUUUUGAAAGACAAAUUGCAAAAAUUAAGCUUUUUUGCCCUUUUGGUCACUUCUAACUUUUUCCUUUUUCCAAAUAGGUCCUAAAUCAAUUGAAACCCAUUUCUCCAAAUUAGGCCUUAAAAUUGAAUUUUGUUUUGAGCUAAACAAUAAAAUAAAAGCCCAAAUAUGUAACUUUAAUUCUUUAAUUACUUACUUUUGACCUUAAGUUUUGAUAUCUAACACAACCUCCA